rnacentral:misc_RNA from 1 species
GGAGGGAUCAUUAGCGAGCGUGGCCGCUUCGGCGGCGCCUCUCACACGGUGAAGAGCGGCGAGAAAUUGCUUCGGCGGGACGCGGCUGCGAGAAGCGGCCGCCGCCGGCCUGCGACUUCGGGGAAAAAAGCCCGAGGUUGUGCGGGCGGGUGUGCGCCCGCCGAAGGACCAAACUCUUGAGUUUAGUCAGUCGGCGUUGAUUUUUAAAUCAAACAAAAACUUUCAACAACGGAUCUCUUGGUUCUGGCAUCGAUGAAGAACGCAGCGAAAUGCGAUAAGUAAUGUGAAUUGCAGAAUUUAGUGAAUCAUCGAAUUUUUGAACGCAUAUUGCGCCCUCUGGUAUUCCGGGGGGCACACCUGUUCGAGCGCCGUUUCAGCACUAAGGCUUCAGCCUUGCGAUGACCGCAUCUCGGAUGAGACGGUCGAAACGCAGCGACGCGGGCGCCUGACCUUGGACAGAGCACAAUCUGGAGCAAGGGCGGGCGGAUCGUGGUCGGUUUUCCGAAAGCAUGGCCUCGGAUCAGGUGGGGAUACCCGCUGAACUUAAGCAUAUCAAUAAGCGGAGGAAAAGAAACCAACAGGGAUUGCCUUAGUAACGGCGAGUGAAGCGGCAACAGCUCAGAUUUGAAACCUGGCACCCGCCCGGAUUGUAAUCUGCAGAGGAACGUUCGGCUGAAGGGCCGGUCCAAGUCUCCUGGAACGGAGCGUCGGAGAGGGUGAGAGCCCCGUACCCGGCCGGGACCUGAUGCCGUGUGAACGUCCUUCGACGAGUCGAGUUGUUUGGGAAUGCAGCUCUAAAAGGGUGGUAAAUUCCAUCUAAAGCUAAAUAUUGGCCAGAGACCGAUAGCGCACAAGUAGAGUGAUCGAAAGAUGAAAAGCACUUUGGAAAGAGAGUUAAACAGUACGUGAAAUUGUUGAAAGGGAAGCGCUUGCGACCAGACUCGGCCGCGGAUGUUCAGCCGGGCGAUUAGGCCGGUGCACUCAUCCGCGGGCGGGCCAGCAUCGGUUCGGGCGGCCGGACAAAGGCGCGGGGAAGGUGGCCUUCUUCGGGAGGUGUUAUAGCCCCGUGCACAAUACGGCCAGCCGGGACCGAGGGACGCGCAUCUGCUCGGAUGCUGGCGUAAUGGUUGCUAGCGGCCCGUCUUGAAACACGGACCAAGGAGUCGAAUACCUGCGCGAGUGUUAGGGUGUCAAACCCUGGACGCGAAAUGAAAGUGAACGGAGGUGGGAGCUUCGGCGCACCAUCGACCGAUCCGGAGGAAUUCCGAAGGAUUUGAGUAAAAGCGCAGUCAUUCGGACCCGAAAGAUGGUGAACUAUGCGUGAAUAGGGUGAAGCCAGAGGAAACUCUGGUGGAGGCUCGCAGCGGUUCUGACGUGCAAAUCGAUCGUCAAAUUUGCGUAUAGGGGCGAAAGACUUAUCGAACCAUCUAGUAGCUGGUUCCUGC